rnacentral:rRNA from 1 species
UACGGAGGGUGCAAGCGUUUGUCCGGAUUUAUUGGGUUUAAAGGGUGCGUAGGCGGCUAAUUAAGUCAGCGGUGAAAUUCCACAGCUCAACUGUGGAACUGCCAUUGAUACUGGUUGGCUUGAGUACAGAUGAGGUAGGCGGAAUUGACAGUGUAGCGGUGAAAUGCUUAGAUAUUGUCAAGAACACCUAUUGCGAAGGCAGCUUACUAAGCUGUAACUGACGCUGAGGCACGAAAGCGUGGGGGAUCAAACAGG